rnacentral:tmRNA from 1 species
GGGGACGACCUGGCUUCGACGUGGGUUACAAAACUUGAGGUGCAUGCCGAGUAUGUUAGUUCUCUCGUAAAAAAGACUGGCAAAAUUAUAGUUGCAAACGAUAACAACUACGCACUAGCAGCUUAAACCCCUGUAAAUGCCGUCCGACCAAAGCCGUGCUUAUGCGUUUGGUAUCGGGCGUCGACUCUCAUAAGACAAGCCAAAGGUACGCUUGAUACUGACGGACUGAAAUCUUACAAGCUCGCUAUUUGUUUUCCCUGUCCAUUGGGUAGCCUGUAGUUAAAAUAAUAGAUGGAAUAAGCAUGUAGAGCUGAUAGUGGAGGAUUUGCGGACGCGGGUUCGAUUCCCGCCGUCUCCACCA